rnacentral:rRNA from 1 species
GGCUCCCUGCUAUAUACUAUAUAGGGAGUCGGACCUGCCCAGUGAAUUUUUUCAACGGCCGCGGUACUCUGACCGUGCAAAGGUAGCAUAAUCAUUUGCCUUAUAACUGAAGGCUAGUAUGAAUGGUUUGACAAGAAUAUAACUGUCUCUUUGUAAUUAAUUAGAACUUUAUCUACAGGUGAAGAAGCCUGUCUAUAAUUGAAAGACAAGAAGACCCUAUCGAGCUUGAAAAAAUCUGAUAAACCUAAUUUUUAAUAAAAUAUUAACAUCAUUUAUCUAAAAUUUUAGUUGGGGCGACUAAGGAACAAAAAAAGCUUCCUUUUAUAAUUCAAGUAAAAACAAACAAGUAAUGAUCCAAAAAUUUUGAUUAAAGGAACUAGUUACCGUAGGGAUAACAGCAUUAUUCCCUUUGAGAGCUCACAUCGAAAAGGGAGUUUGUGACCUCGAUGUUGGACCAGAAUAUCCUAAAGAUGCAGCCGUCUUUAAGGGUUGGUCUGUUCGACCAUUAAAAUUCUACGUGAUCUGAGUUCAGACCGGCGUGAGCCAGGUCAGUUUCUAUCUUCAAUUUCCUUAAAUAAACUUAGUACGAAAGGACCAGAUUAUUACAAACUAAUUGUUAAAAAUAGAUAAUAUAUAACGUAAUCAUAAACACUUAUCAAUAAAAUUUAACCAAUCAAAUUAGCAAAGAUAAUGCAAUUGACUUAGGAUCAAUAGACAUAGGUGAAACUCCUUUAUUUGAUAUCCAUUAAAUAAACCAAAUACACAAUAAAGGUGGCAGAAUAAA